UACGGAGGAUGCGAGCGUUAUCCGGAUUUAUUGGGUUUAAAGGGUGCGUAGGCGGACUGUCAAGUCAGCGGUAAAAUUGAGAGGCUCAACCUCUUCCCGCCGUUGAAACUGGUGGUCUUGAGUGGAUGAGAAGUACGCGGAAUGUGUGGUGUAGCGGUGAAAUGCAUAGAUAUCACGCAGAACUCCGAUUGCGAAGGCAGCGUACCGGCAUCCAACUGACGCUGAGGCACGAAAGCGUGGGGAUCAAACAGG
rnacentral:rRNA from 1 species